rnacentral:rRNA from 1 species
AACAGGAUUAGAUACCCUGGUAGUCCACGCCGUAAACGAUGGAUACUCGCUGUGGGCGAUACACAGUCCGCGGCUUAGCGAAAGCGUUAAGUAUCCCACCUGGGGAGUACGCCGGCAACGGUGAAACUCAAAGGAAUUGACGGGGGCCCGCACAAGUGGUGGAGCAUGUGGUUUAAUUCGAUGAUACGCGAGGAACCCUACCGAGGCUAGAAUGCGCGUGACCGGCCCAGAGAUGGGCCUUUCCUUCGGGACACAAAGCAAGGUGCUGCAUGGCCGUCGUCAGCUCGUGCCGUGAGGUGUUGGGUUAAGUCCCGCAACGAGCGCAACCCCUAUGUUUAGUUGCCAGCGGAUUAUGCCGGGGACUCUAGACAGACUGCCUGCGCAAGCAGCGAGGAGGGCGGGGACGACGUCAGGUCAUCAUGGCCCUUACGCCUCGGGCUACACACGUGCUACAAUGGACGGUACAGAGGGUCGCCACGCAGCGAUGCGGAGCCAAUCUCAAAAAGCCGUUCUCAGUUCGGAUCGGAGUCUGCAACUCAACUCCGUGAAGCUGGAAUCACUAGUAAUCGCGUAUCAGCAACGACGCGGUGAAUACGUUCCCGGGCCUUGUACACACCGCCCGUCAAGCCAUGGAAGUCUGGUAGACCUGAAGCUGGUGCCCCGCAACGGAGCCAGUUAGGGUAGAACAGGUAACUGGGGCUAAGUCGUAACAAGGUAACC